CCUUGUCAUGCAUUAGCAGGGCAAGGAAUUCUUAAGGCCUUCUGUUGAGACCUUACUGAGUGAAAUGCUUAUUAUUGAAGUCCCUGGCAAGAGAGCUCAAUGGCUAAGCACCAGGCCACAGUCUACUGUACUCCCACUCUUUGAAUCCAUGGUGAAAAUAAUACUCUUUGAAAUGUGUUAGGAAGAGAAAGAAAACUGAUGUUGGCUACCAUGCUAAUUACAGAGCUUACCAGUAAGAUCUUUUAGCUUAGUCAUGCAAGCUGUGCCUACACUCAUUUAUUCACUUAGCAAACAUUAUGAGGUCAAUUUUACCAAUUGUUAAUGUCUUAUGUAUCCUGGAUUUAUUGUGGACUCUUUAUAGACAAACUUCUUGACUAAUAGAUCUAUGAUCAUUUUUCUCUGACAUCUAAUCCAUUUCCAACCCCUACUAAUCUGGCUUUUGUCAUCACAAUUAAAAACAAGCUUUGUGGUGUUUCUUUUCUUACCUCAACAUCUCACUGCUCUUUGGUAAAUGGAACACUGAUUUUGAGCUGGAAACACGGGCAUUUUGAAUAAAAGGACUACAUUCUCCAUCCUUCAUUGUGGUUAGGUAUAACCGUUUUAUAUCUAAUUGCUGGCCGAUGAGAGAUAAUUAGUAGAAGCAGUGGCUUUGUUUUGUUUAUUUUUUGUUGUUGUUUUUUGGUGGGAGCAGCUAUAUAAAGUCAGAGGAUACUGCUGGAAGUGCCACUGUGCCUUUCUACACUUACCUCUUCUUUUGGUUUUUAGCAAACAUGAUCGCUGGAGAUGCAGCAACUAUCUUGGACAACAAGGUGACAAGAAGCUUAAUUUGACAACAAUACAAAAAGAUAGUAUCCUGUGUCCCUGAUGACACCAAGAGGGUGCAUAAUAUUUUCCUGCAGAUGUGGAACUUACAUAUAUGGAGACCCAAUGGAAACCUCCUGGGUUUUCUAUGCAGACAAUUAUGUCUGCAAAUAAUGAGUUUUCUAAACAAAUUCCUUUCUGAUUUUUUUUUUGCUUGUCUUAUUACAUUGCCUAGGAAUAACAUUAUUAUAAUGAGUAGAACUAGUGAUAACAGUCUUUUGUCUUUUUUGUGCAUUUAAUGCAAAUGCUCAUCUUUACUAUUAAGUGUGCUAACAGCUGAAGUUAUCAGGUUAAUAUACUUCACCAGGUUAAGAAGGUUUGUUUCUAUUUCUGUUUUGUUAAACUACAAAAAAAAUCAUAAAUGAAAAUUAACUUUUCCUCUUGAUUUAUCACAUUUAUUUAAAUAAACACAGUUAUGAUUUCUCUUUUAAUCUACUAAAAUGUUGGAGUCUUCUCUAAUGUUGACCCAUCAUUACAUAUCUAAGAUGUCUGAGAAAUACACAUUUGAGGUAAAUUCUACUUGUUUAUGGUUUUGUAACCAUACCAGACAAACCUGUUUCAACUUUUAUGUAAGAAAGUUGUGAGUUUUUCAGUUGCUAUGGACCCCCACACAUUGACAGUCACAUAACCUGAGCAUGCCCAGUUGAACCAACUAUGCAACCACAGUUGGAACUUAAGUGCUCAGACCAAGAAACAGGGACUUAAUUAAGACAUGGAUACCACAUGGAACAAUCCAGGAUCCAAUCAGAUCAAGACUUGGUGUCACCUUAUAGCAGGAUCCUGUCAGAUCAAGAGAUCCAUGCCUAGUGGAAUCAUCUGAUUUAAAAAUCCAAUCAAAUCACACCUCAUUACUCUAUAGCUAUAAGACCUGCCCCAGCUCUCCAGCUCAAGGAAAUGGAUUUGAGCCUUUCCUCCUAUCUUCUUGCCAGUCAGCUUGCAGAGAACCUUUUCUUUUCUCCAAAGCCAGUGCCAUGACAUUGGCUUGUAUGGGUAUCAGGCAGUGAGCCCACUGAUUGUUUGGUAAAAAAUUUUAAGUGACAUUUAAAAUUUUAAAUAAAAUGUGAAUUUUGACUUGCUGACACUUAUCUUGGGAGUUCUCCAUGAACGUUCAUAAUUCUGAUUGACCUAUAAUUUUGUCUUAUUGAACUGCCCUUGCCUUAGUCUGGUAUUGAUAUUUUAAUAUUCUCUCAAAGACCUGAGAAGCUUUUCCUAUUUCUUUACUUUCUGAAGCAGUUUAUAAAAUAAGUGGAUUAUAUUUUUCAUCACGUGUAGAAAAUAAAAAAUUCUUGGCCCUAGUAUCUUAACAUUUUUCUAAUAAAAAUUAAUUUUUAUUAUAAAAAUUAAAAUUUGUUAUUAAAAAUUUAAUUUUUUAAUUGUAAAAAUUUUUUAUUAUAAAAUUUAAAAAAUUAUUACAAAAAUUAACAAUUUUUUAUUAUACUUUAAGUUCUGGGGUACAUGUGCAGAACGUGCAGGUUUUUUACAUAGAUAUACACAUGCCAUGGUAGUCUGCUGCACCCAUCAACCUGUGAUCUGUAUACAUUAGGUAUUUCUCCUAAUGCUAUCCCUCCCCUAGCCCACCACCCCCUGACAGGCCUGGUGAAUGAUGUUCCCCUCCCUGUGUCAAUGUGUUCUCUUUGUUCAGCUCCCACUUAUGAGUAAGAACAUGCGGUGUUUGAUUUUUUGUUCUUGUGUUAGUUUGCUGAGAAUGAUGGAAAAAUUAUGAUAAA
rnacentral:lncRNA from 1 species